rnacentral:rRNA from 1 species
AUUGAACGCUGGCGGCAGGCCUAACACAUGCAAGUCGAGCGGCAGCGGGAAAGUAGCUUGCUACUUUUGCCGGCGAGCGGCGGACGGGUGAGUAAUGCCUGGGAAAUUGCCCAGUCGAGGGGGAUAACAGUUGGAAACGACUGCUAAUACCGCAUACGCCCUACGGGGGAAAGCAGGGGACCUUCGGGCCUUGGGCGAUUGGAUAUGCCCAGGUGGGAUUAGCUAGUUGGUGAGGUAAUGGCUCACCAAGGCGACGAUCCCUAGCUGGUCUGGGAGGAUGGUCAGCCACACUGGAACUGAGACACGGUCCAGACUCCUACGGGAGGCAGCAGUGGGGAAUAUUGCACAAUGGGGGAAACCCUGAUGCAGCCAUGCCGCGUGUGUGAAGAAGGCCUUCGGGUUGUAAAGCACUUUCAGCGAGGAGGAAAGGUCAGUAGCUAAUACCUGCUGACUGUGACGUUACUCGCAGAAGAAGCACCGGCUAACUCCGUGCCAGCCGCCGCGGUAAAAC